rnacentral:rRNA from 1 species
AGCAGCCGCGGUAAUUCCAGCUCCAAUAGCGUAUAUUAAAGUUGUUGCAGUUAAAAAGCUCGUAGUUGAAUUUCGGGAUCGAAUUGUUGGUCGUGCCUCGGUACGCACUGGCAUUAUCGGUUCCUACCUUCUGAAGAACCGCGAUGUCAUUAAUUUGGUGUCGUGGGGAAUCAGGACUGUUACUUUGAAAAAUUAGAGUGUUUAAAGCAGGCUUACGCUUGAAUACAUUAGCAUGGAAUAAUGAAAUAGGACGUUUGAUUCUAUUUUGUUGGUUUCUAGGAUCGACGUAAUGAUUAAUAGGGAUAGUUGGGGGCAUUAGUAUUCAAUUGUCAGAGGUGAAAUUCUUGGAUUUAUUGAAGACUAACUACUGCGAAAGCAUUUGCCAAGGAUGUUUUCAUUAAUCAAGAACGAAAGUUAGGGGAUCGAAGACGAUCAGAUACCGUCGUAGUCUUAACCAUAAACUAUGCCGACUAGGGAUCGGGAUGAUGUUAAUUUUUAAUGACUCAUUCGGCGCCUUACG